UACGAAGGGGGCUAGCGUUGCUCGGAAUCACUGGGCGUAAAGGGUGCGUAGGCGGGUCUUUUAAGUCAGAGGUGAAAUCCUGGAGCUCAACUCCAGAACUGCCUUUGAUACUGAAGAUCUUGAGUUCGGGAGAGGUGAGUGGAACUGCGAGUGUAGAGGUGAAAUUCGUAGAUAUUCGCAAGAACACCAGUGGCGAAGGCGGCUCACUGGCCCGAUACUGACGCUGAGGCACGAAAGCGUGGGGAGCAAGCAGG
rnacentral:rRNA from 1 species